rnacentral:rRNA from 1 species
CCUACGGGAGGCAGCAGUGAGGAAUAUUGGUCAAUGGACGAGAGUCUGAACCAGCCAAGUAGCGUGAAGGAUGACUGCCCUAUGGGUUGUAAACUUCUUUUAUAAAGGAAUAAAACGAGGCACGUGUGCCUUUUUGCAUGUACUUUAUGAAUAAGGAUCGGCUAACUCCGUGCCAGCAGCCGCGGUAAUACGGAGGAUCCGAGCGUUAUCCGGAUUGAUUGGGUUUAAAGGGAGCGUAGAUGGGUUGUUAAGUCAGUUGUGAAAGUUUGCGGCUCAACCGUAAAAUUGCAAUUGAUACUGGCAGUCUUGAGUGCAGUUGAGGUAGGCGGAAUUCGUGGUGUAGCGGUGAAAUGCGUAGAUAUGACGAAGAACCCCGAUUGCGAAGGCAGCUUACUAAACUGUGACUGACAUUGAUGCUCGAAAGUGUGGGUAUCAAACAGGAUUAGAUACCCCUGUAGUC